rnacentral:rRNA from 1 species
GUGGACGCCAGUCUGCAUGGAGCCGACCUUGAAAUACCACCCUUUAAUGUUUGAUGUUCUAACGUGGACCCGUGAUCCGGGUUGCGGACAGUGUCUGGUGGGUAGUUUGACUGGGGCGGUCUCCUCCUAAAGAGUAACGGAGGAGCACGAAGGUUGGCUAAUCCUGGUCGGACAUCAGGAGGUUAGUGCAAUGGCAUAAGCCAGCUUGACUGCGAGCGUGACGGCGCGAGCAGGUGCGAAAGCAGGUCAUAGUGAUCCGGUGGUUCUGAAUGGAAGGGCCAUCGCUCAACGGAUAAAAGGUACUCCGGGGAUAACAGGCUGAUACCGCCCAAGAGUUCAUAUCGACGGCGGUGUUUGGCACCUCGAUGUCGGCUCAUCACAUCCUGGGGCUGAAGUAGGUCCCAAGGGUAUGGCUGUUCGCCAUUUAAAGUGGUACGCGAGCUGGGUUUAGAACGUCGUGAGACAGUUCGGUCCCUAUCUGCCGUGGGCGCUGGAGAACUGAGGGGGGCUGCUCCUAGUACGAGAGGACCGGAGUGGACGCAUCACUGGUGUUCGGGUUGUCAUGCCAAUGGCACUGCCCGGUAGCUAAAUGCGGAAGAGAUAAGUGCUGAAAGCAUCUAAGCACGAAACUUGCCCCGAGAUGAGUUCUCCCUGAGACUUAAAGUCUCCUGAAGGAACGUUGAAGACGACGACGUUGAUAGGCCGGGUGUGUAAGCGCAGCGAUGCGUUGAGCUAACCGGUA